rnacentral:tRNA from 1 species
GGAAGGUAGCCGGAUACGGCUCGCCGGGCCGCACUGCUAAUGCGGAGCCGCUUCGCGCGGCAUGUGGGUUCGAAUCCCACGCCUUCCGC